CACAUUUUUCUCAAAGCAGCUGGGGUUGCCAGAUACCCUUUUUAAUAUGGGACUUCCCAUAUUUAAGCCUCAAAUCUCAAAUGCUGUAUUAAAAACACGUGAUGCAUUGCCUGCUCUUGUAUUUCCUCUACAUUUUAAUAGGGGACACACGUUGUGAGGUUGAAACGCAGAAAAUCCUGCAGCUGCUUUCCUGCCCUGGUCUUAUGGCCUCCUCUGGGAGCAGAGAGACACGAUCCAGUUGGUGGCUGUGACAGGAGCGAGAACUGGAGCAGCCCUAAGGAGCUGAGGAGGGCUGCAGGGCAAUGAGCACACUGAGGCACCAGGAAUGCACACCGGUGUAUUAAAGUUCAGAAUGCAGCAACUCCCCUCUGCUGCCCCAUGUCAGGUGUACUUGAUCCUCCUGCCAAGGACUCACUAAUGUGAUAAGAAAAUAAAUAUUUUUGUUUUGUAGGCAAUACUUUUGCUUAUACAGCUCAGGAGAUAGCAAUCCAGGUCACUAACUUCGGUUUGGGAUUCUCUAUGAUCUCUCCUCUACAAAAUACUAGCCAGAUAGUCAUGCUUUGUCCUGCAUUUGGUUACUUGUUCUCUCUAAGUACCUUGUCACCUCGUCUUUACUGAAGUUGACUUCUUUUUCACCAGAACACUUCUCAACUUGUCAGGAUCAUUCUGACUUCCAAGUCCUGCCCUCCAUUGCUCUCGCCAUUUCUCCAAGCCUGGUGUCAUCUGUGCGUUUAAUAAGUCUGCUUGCUUAUAAAGCAUACAAAUUGUUAAAGAAAACACUAGAACCAGACCUUGGACAGAUCUUUGAACUAUAUGUGAUGUCUCUUUAAUUUAUUUCCUCAGAGAAGCAUCUACUCUGUUAUUUGGAGCAAUUCAGGAGCGGAACAGAUUCCCACAGACAAUUUCCACGGAUACUACACAACACGGAGGUCUAAGCUUGCUUCUUCCGCUUCCAGAUGUGUGGAAUUACUGCAUUGCUCACAGCAUCAGCUCUUGUCUCUGGAAGCAAAGUCUGGAAGGCAUCCCAACUGUCCUCAUCCCUCCCCUCCGCGGCAGUAUCACUGUUCUGUGGACACAUGUGCAGAUCUAGCUGGAGCUGAUGAUCAACCCAAAGGAGGAACCGUCUCAGUCCUGAGAAUACAAAAUAGCUACCACAAAAGACAGCAGUGGUUCGUCUGUGGGUUCCCAUGCAACUUGGAAAUACAAGAGAGAAAUCAUCAUUGCCUUUUGCAGCCUGUAAGAUUUGUGACAGCCAAUUGCAGCGAUAUCCAUAACUUCUGAAAAAGAAAACAUCAUUUUUCUCCUACUGGCAUAUCUCAACUGCACGAGAAGCGUUUCUUUCAGCAUCACCGAAGGUCUGGGAUAUCUCACUUCAUGAAUCACAUUAGAUGUCUUCUCCUAAUUUUGUACGACCAUCUGUGAAUCUUUCCAACCCAGGUUCCAUCAGGAGCAGGAUCUGGCAGUUGGAAGAGAUUUGAGACCAACUCACUCGAUCCUUUUCCUGCUGCUCAGGCUGAUGAUAUUUCAGCAUAAAAGGAGGCUUUGAGCUGGUGUUGACUGCUCUUUCUCCUCUUUUCAAGUUGCAGUGCAAAGCUUUGGAUGACUGAAGUGGGAAGGAUAGAGGAAAGAAAAGCAACCCAAACCUUCACCAGCACACCUGCUUGAGGGGCCGCAGAACUCCAAAGUUCAUCAAUACUAUGUGAAUCACUGCUGGAGACUGACAUUAGAAAUCCAUCUUCAUGCUGGCCUGGUUCCUCAUCUCCUACAUCACUAAAUUACAACUUAAAUCCAAAUAUCUCCCAAAUGUUUUGAUACAAGACCUAAAAAACCCCCAUUUCUCAGCUCCCUGAAGACUUCAUAGACCAUAUGCUUCUCAAAGGAGAAGUUAUGCUGUUUCACUUCUUUCUAAUGACUGUUGGCCAAUGGGAAAAUGUAUAACUGAACAACUUAGGUUAUGUCCGCUUGGAGAAGUUGAAGAUUUCGUUAGAUGCUGGACAACAAUAUUCACAUCCAAAGCACUCAAUUUCCAUGCUGCAUCAGGCUUAGUCUCAGUCUCCCCAGAACACAGUGAAAAGACGUGACAGUAGCUUUCUGUGUAGAAAUAUAUUUGGCAAAUAUAUAAACCCUGCAGAGCAUCCCUUGAGAGGCUAAAGGAAUUUAAACUUAAGUCCCAUGCAGAUCUCCUCUAAGGUGUUAUUUUCCCCCCUAAAUACCAUGUUGAAAUUCUACUUUUACCAAGUUUAAAACUGGAAGCUACAUUAUGUUUGCAGAACUGGAAAUCUCAGUGAAUAAAUAAAUCUUGAGAAGCACAGCUACAGGGAAACAGGCACAGACCUUGCACCAUUCACAGCUUUAAAAAAAGUGUUGGAGCUUAGUAAAGCCAGCAUCACACACACAGCAAAUUAGAAGGAGGGCACGCUCUCCUCAUGAACUUGGGGAAAACCCACACAUUUCAAAAGCACAUAAUUCAGCUGUAAAAUGUUAACAACUGUUUUCCAGACUUCGCUUUGGUAUACAAAAUUCAGCCCAGAAACUCUUCCAUUUCACAAAGUAUGGUUCAAAUUAAGGGGAAAAAACAACCCUUUACAUAUCUUUGCAGUGUUUUUUUUUUUUCCACAACACCAGAGUUCUGUCAAAGUGGGAAUCUUCAUAAAAACAACUAUUCAUAUUCUAUGGUUUAUUUAUGCAAAUUGGAUGGGCAAUGUUAAUUAAAUGAACACUUAGAUCUGUGUAGACCUUUUUACCAGUAGGUUUCAAGAAGAUAAAGUAUGAGAACCUUACUUUGGAACCAAAGAAAUGAAGAUCUGGAUAGGUUGGAUAGCUGGGCUGAAGCCAAUGGGAUGGGAUUCAACAAGACCAAAUGCCGGGUCCUGCACUUUGUCCACAAUAACCCCAGGCAAUGCUACAGGCUUGGGGCAGAGUGGCUGGAAGACUGUGUAGAGGAAAUGGACCUGGGGGUGUUGAUUGACACUAGACUGAACAUGAGCCAGCAGUGUGCCCAGGUGGCCAAGAAGGCCAAUGGCAUCCUGGCUUGUAUCAGAAAUAGUGUGGCCAGCAGGAACAGGGAAGUAAUUAUCCCCCUGUACUCAGCACUGGUGAAGCCACACCUUGAGUACUGUGUCCAGUUUUGGGCCCCUCACUGUAAGAAAGACAUCGAGGCCCUGGAGCGUGUCCAGAGGAGGGCAACAAAGCUGGUGAGGGGUCUGGAGCACAGGCCUUAUGAAGAGCGGCUGAAGGAGCUGGGAUUGUUCAGUUUAGAGAAGAGGAGGCUCAGAGGAGACCUUAUUGCUCUCUAUAACUACCUGAAGGGAGUUUGUAGUGAGCUGGGGGUCGGCCUCUUCUCUCAGGUGACUAGUGAUAGGACUAGAGGGAAUGGCUUCAAGCUGCACCAGGGAAGAUUCAGGCUGGACGUUAGGAAAUACUACUUCUCUGAAAGGGUGGUCAGGCACUGGAAUGGGCUGCCCAGAGAGGUGGUGGAGUCACCGAACCUGGUGGUGUUCAAAGAGCGUUUGGAUGUUGUGUUGAGGGACAUGGUUUAGCGAGAACCAUUGGUGAUGGGCGAAUGGUUGGACUGGAUGAUCCUGUGGGUCUUUUCCAACCUUAGCGAUUCUAUGAUUCUAUAAGAAACAUUGUAAGUGACGUAUGAGCUGAUCUACCAGACUAGGAACCAAGCCAGGAGAAAGGCAAACGAAGGGAUGGAUGCAUGCAAUAAAAGCCUUCAAAUGAUGCCAGGCUGGAUUUUUUUCCUGUGACAGACAAUUAUUGUACAGUUAUGGUCUUCUAAUUAACCAGUUAAAGUACAGUUUCUGCAAUUGUCCUACAUAUGUAGGUACCUGGAUAUUAAGCCUAUAGUUUCAUGAAGUACAGAAAUUCAGUUCCCUCUGAUCCCCCUGAGAAGAAAACAGAGAACAAAACCAACCACCAUUUACCUUCCCCUGAACACCUCUGCUGGUAACAGCUUUGUAAAAUAUUCCUGUGCAAUAUCUACUGAGCAUUAGCAUUGUGCACUUCAUACAGUGAUGCAUCACUGUCCUUUGCUGCAAUUUUAGUUAAUUACCCCAUGAAAAACUUAAAAGAUUUAAGCUCAUAAAAAGUAGUAAGUAAUACAUAUCAGUAGUUUGAUUUCUUGCUACAACACAAAGUUGGAAGUUCAGCCUUCAGUAACCUCUGAGCUAUUCCUUAUCCCCACAGCUUCUGUGACAGUACUACAGGAACGUCUAUCUGUACACAGCAUACAAUAUUACCCUUUAUGAAGGCAGCACUGGAACGGAGAUAUAUAAUUAAUUACAUUCAAUUUAGCACCAUGGAUUUAAGGAUUUGCCUUCCAUUAGCAAACAGAGGAGGGAAACUUAGAAAUUAGAUAACAUCUAUUAUAGACAGAUCAUAUAAAUGACUAUUUCACACUUAUUUAAUCCUUCAAAAGCACUAUCAGAGAAAAUAGUUGUUUCUUAUAAGCAGAUGUACUGUUUGAAGGCACUCAGAGCAAUAUUCAGAUGCUGCUGUAUGGAGUGUGUGUUAAGGAAAGCCCAAAGCAGUUGGGACAGUCUGCUGUAAGCUGGCAGGGUGAGGGCAGAGGCUGCAGACACAGUGCAUGGAUGGAUGUGUGCAUGGCUGGGGAUAGAUGCAUGGCCACACUGCCAAAGAGACCUGCCUAGCUCUUGGGCUGGGUGUAGAGGCAGACAACCCUGAUCUUCAGCACAAUGGGCAUGCAGCAAGACUAAACAGAAAAGAAGAUACUGGGAGAAAAGUGAUGGCUUGAGACUUUUUCUGAAAAAAAAAAAAAAUCAGAAGAACCCCAACUCUGCUACAACCAAAAAUCCAAUAAUCCAAAACACUUCAUCUGUGAAAAGAAUUCAAAUUCAGUUACUGACUGCACAACAAAUUACUGCAUCUCAGUCAGAGGCAGUGCGUGGAAGCUGAAACACUGAGAACACAGCUAGAACGUAUUCCAAACGCAGCCUUCACCCAGGACUCUCUGAAGCACAGUCGACAUCAGAGACAGCAGAGUAGGAAAUAUGUUCUCAGAUGGAAAGGUCUGCUACAUUCCUCCAAGAAUUGCCCUCUAGAGCCGGAGCCUCUUUGUCUAACAGGUACAGCUGAGGCAGGUCCCUGUGCUUUGAAACACUGCUGUUAGAGAAGAGUCAAGGAAUGGCCCUUGGUCCAAGACUGAAUGGUUGGUAUUGACAAACUCUGGAGUAGGCAGCAGGACUCUGCUUUCACGUAUACAUUUAUUUCACAGCCUGAAGCUGGAAAAGCUUUAAUUUAAAUCUUACAGAUAAAAUAGAAAAAAAAGCUAUUGAUCUUAAAAAUACCAUGCAUGCUAAAAAAAAAUAUUAGCAAUGAUUAAUAACCUUACAGAUAUAUUGUGAUAGUAUAGUAUAUGUAUUUUUCUUGUUAAAGUAUACAAUUUAGGUGUAAAACAUUUCAUUUAAUUCAUCUCCAACACUACUAACCUUUUCUUACUUAAAUCUGUAAUGCAAAUCUAUAAAAAUCACCAUCAGCUAUAACAGAUGAGUCCAUUGAAAGGCAGUGGCCCUAGGGAUGGCUCUGACCUCCUGAUCUUUCCAUCGCCACUGCUCACACAGCCAGGACUCCUUUGUCCAGAUCAAACCUUUCAGUAGCUGGCACUGAUGAUCAGAGCACUCUGAUCUCUCCCACAUCUCUCUGGACAUGGCUUUUAUGUUCUGCUGCGCCUUCAUGAGACUAAACAACAAUCAGCAUUUGACUCUAAAACUCUUCUCAUGGCCAUCUUACAGUUCAGACACGGUCCCCCCAGGAACCUGUAGCAUGGGGGUCAUAGAAAUCUCAUCCUGUUCCCCCUAGAUACAUUCACAUAUGUCCACAUCAGGUAGAAUACAUGUAGCAAAACCAAACUGGGCAUGCACAAUCACCUGUAGUUUCUUCAGGCAAGGCCACCUCAGAGAUGCAAGAAUAACAGCCUAGGAAAAGUUUUAGAGACCUUUUUCCUGCCAACAUACACAAACCUAGUUACUUUGUUCCAAGGGGCCAACUUCAUCAUGUACCAUACUGGUAGUUAAUUCGGCCUAAAUGCUUGCCAGUUUUUAAUACAGCUUCCCUAAAGUUGCUAUUAAUCUGGGGUGAAUAUAAAGUGCACUGCUUUCUCCCAGCUUGUUUCAUCCUCUGAUUACAUUCACAUAUUCUACGCAGCACAGCUGUGAACACUUCAGGAGCAGCCAUCCUGAAGAUGGAGAUUGACCAUCCAGUACAACCCACCCCAUCCCAACACUCUGAUUUUCUUUCUGUAGGGUUUCACCAUCGAUUGUAGCCUUCCCAAAUCUUAUCUAACACUAUCUCAUCUAGUCUGUGUUCCAAAAUUUGAUUUAUGCACCUGUAUUCAUUCAUUUUUCACUUGGCUUUGCUGUAAUCUGUCUAACAGCAGAGAUAGCAUUUGUACUUCUGACAGCUUUCAAAAGUUUACACAUCAUUUGAAAGCCAUGCAAUUGCAGAUAAAUAAAAAUAGUCUUCGUGUUUUAAUUGUUCGCAGUGCAACAGUCAGCGUUGGCAAUGGCAACAGUCAGUUACAGCUAAUGAUACCUUUUGAUAAAGGCAUCAAAUUGUUUUACCCCCAAACUAACCUGUACUACUUUGAGUAAUUUCUGCUGGCACCUCUGGCUUAUGUGCUGCUGUUGGUCAGUUUUUAUCCUAUCAAUGUGUACUGUUAUGGUAAUUGGAGGCUACAUUAGACUAUUUGUGUUUACCCUUAUUGCUAGUUAAUCCCCCCAGAACAGUGAAGCACCACUCACAGAUUUUCCAUGUUAGCUGUUAUUUUGCCACUUCUACACAUAAACUUGCUUGAAACCACCUCAAAUCACAGAUUUGUUGGCCAAGUUCCUAUUACCCUCAGCAGCUCUGUAUUAGGACCUACGUGGCUCAAUUAAUCAGGUGGCUAACACCAAGCAAGUCUAAAGACAAGGAUGAAUGGAAAGCAUCCUGGGGGACAGCUGUGCAGGAAAAUUAAAGUCAAAAAGGAAAGUUGCAGCAGAGACCACAGUAGGACAGAGGAGGAGCUCCUGGCUGUGAGCUGUCUGCAGCUCCAGGAGCCCUGGCUUUUGGCACUUUGUGAAGAAUUGCAGCUGCUGAUGCUGUCAAUAGUCCAGAAAAAGUAGCAGCUGCAAGGGAAGGAAGGAGGACUGCUUGGGACUUCCUGACUGACCUCACACUUCUGUAGCCCAGAUCAUUUCUCCUUCUCUCCUGCCAUACUUCACCCAUAAAAACACUGAUUACUAUGAUUUCAUGCAGGUGGAGGAAAUUUCACUUUCACGGCUUCAGAGUUGUUUCAUUUUCAGAUCCUAAGGGUUUCCACAGCUUGGAGAGAUCACAGGAGUGAUUUUUUCAAGCGUGGGGCUUGGGGGCUCUCAGUGUUGGGACCUGCCUUUUUACUACUGCUGGAAAGGUCCAGAACUUGAGGGUUGAAAACUAUCAAGUGAACAUCAUACAACAAAAUACAAUUUUCACAGAAAAUGGUUUCUCUUUGUUAAAUUUCACAUCUACUCAUUGUAAAAGCAUCCCCAUAAAACAAAAAAAAAGUGUUCAUGUUAUUUUGUGUGAAAAGACAAAACACUUAUUAGAAAGCAUAACGCUUUUUGAUUCUUGUCUUACAGAAUAAGCUACGAAUCCUCAACAUAUAAAGUGACUAUAAAGUAAAAACUAAUUUCUCAUGUAGUUAUUCUGUUCCUGAGACCUUUCUGGCUAUCUAAUAUAUUUCCAAAGGAACAUGUUGUUUUGAUAACUGAAUACUCAAUUAGAUAUUCCUCUAGCAAACCAAUUCAGAACUUCCUAUCACGAUCUUCUGUACAGCUACGCAGAUAGGGCAUAUAAUUGGACAAAACUUUUCACAGCCACAAGAUUAAGUUUCUUCUUUAAUAAAUAAUUCUUUUUAUUAUUAAAACAUAUGUUAAAUGUAUAUUGUAGACAACUGUAUAGCCAUUUUGGAAGGCUUAUAGUAAGACCUUGUGAUGUUAUACUGAGAUGACAAUAGCAGGGUGGCAAAGUCUUUGGCUACAGCAAAUGAGAAUGAGCCCAAAUUCAGCAGCCACAGAUGCAGAGACAGAUAAAAAGAGCUACUUACUUCUAGAAGGCCUCAGAUAAGCAGGGAACCCUGGCAAGAUAUGCCCUCACCUCCACUGACAACCCUUAAAUGAGGUCUGGGAAGGGGUGGAUCCUGGCUGCACCCCUUCCAGUCACUCAGGUGCAUUGCAUACACCUGACCUCCUUUGGGUUUGCCCUGCCUUCCCACC
ensembl:lncRNA